GCAGCAGGUGCGGCCCCUGUCCCCCAGGGGUGUUCCAGGGAUGUGCCUUUCAUUGGUGUGGACUUCACAGGCAUGCUUCACAUUUAGCACCAAGGUCCAUGCAGCCUUCUGUCUCAGCAUAUGUGCCACUUUGAUGAGGAGCUCUUUAUUUUAAAGGGAUAU